CAGUCAGGACGGGUAUCAGGAGGAGUUCUGGUCCGGUCUGGGGGACUGCUGAGGUGACCUUUAUUGAACCCUCAACAGCUGAGGACGCAGCUCUGUCACCUCUCUGGAACCAACUGUGAAACUGAUGCCACCUGCUGGACAAACAGAGUCACUACAAAGUCAUUAAAGAGGACCCAGGUUUGACUGAAAGGAGAACUGGAACCAGUUCAAACCACCGCAGACAGUUUCAGAGAAGUCCUGAUUUAGCACACACACACACACACACACACACAUGGAUAUAUACACACACACACAUGGAUACACACACACACACACACACACACACACACACACAGCAUCAUGGCUGUGCGUUCAUAAAACAUGGUUAUAAUGGAAGUCAAUGGGUAGUAAAAAUGAAAAUCUAAUGAUGCACAAAAACUAUAAAUGUAUUAAAGUCAAUGUUGUUACUAAUAUUUAACAAAUCCAAGAGUGUGAUAGCACGUAAAACAUCUCCAGCCUCUGAUCAUUUAUAUUGAAUAUCAGUCAGUUAGUGUGAUUUUUCUUUCUAACAAAUCAGCGACAUCACCUCUGAAAUCAGCAUUUAAAGGGUUAAAGUCAAUAUCUUUUUUUAAUAUUUAUUUUGUUUUAUUAGGACUGAGACUGACUAAGGGGGAAAAAGUUAAGAGAAAUAUCUGAUAUGUUUUUACAGCAGCUGAAGUUAGGGGCUAAAACAGAGUUUGGCUGCUCUGAUAAAAUAUCACAAAUAUAUAUUUUUAAGUCCAGAUCAAAAAUAUUGAACAAAUCAAAACUAUUGGGUUUUAACCCUUUAAAUGAUGAUUUCAGAGGUCAUGUGACUGAUUAGUUAGAAAGAAAAAACACAUAAAAAGACUGAAUUUCAAUAUAAAGAUUUUUUACAUGAUCACACUCUUGGAUAUAUUUAAUAUUAGUAACAACAUUGACUUUAAUGCAUUAUUAAUUUUUAUAAAGCAUCAGAUUUAUUUACUUAUUUACUUCCCUUUGUUAUUUAGUGGUGAAUUAAUUAAUUAAUUAUUAUUAUUAUUAAUAAUAAUAUUGAACAUAGCCUCAGAUUUUUAUAUUGAUGAAGAUUAAAACCACAGUUUGUAAAUUCACGGUGCUGACACUGAGUUAUCAAACAUUCAGUCACAUGACACUGCACACACACACACACACACACACUUGUCUUUAUUUGGAGAUCAGGUGUCUGUUCUGCUCUGUGAUUGGUUCAUUUAGAAGCUCGUUUUAUCACGUUUAGGUCAGUUUAAGUCACAGACACACACACACACACACACACACACACACACACACAGACAGACACACACACACACAGACAAACACACACACACACACACACACAGACAAACUGCGGUUGGAGGUCUGAAAGUGUCUGUGUGGUUUGGUGUAUUGGGGUCAUUUCCUGCUCUUCUCUGAUUGGUCCUUUGUUUCCUCUUCACUCAGGUUCUGGUCCGUCACUUUCUGAACUGAGACGUCCAGCUCUCACACACACACACACACAAAAACAAACACAUGGACACAACCAGACACACACAGGUAGGACUAAACUCUUUAACUGACUUUAAUAUGUUCACUUUAUUUAUGUGUGUGUGUGUGUGUGAGAGUGUGUGUGUGUGUGUGUGUGUGUGUGUGUGUGUGUGUGUGUGUGUGUGUGUGUGUGUGUGUGUGUGUGUGUGUGUGUGUGUGUGUGUGUGUGUGUGUGUGUGUGUGUGUGUGUGUGUGUGUGUGUGUGUGUGUGUGUGUGUGUGUGUGUGUGUGAGAGUGUGUGUGAGAGUGUGUGUGUGUGUGUGUGUGUGUGUGUGUGUGUGUGUGUGUGAGUGUGUGUGUGUGUGUGUGUGU